ensembl:lncRNA
CUUUGUGCUCGGGGGAGAGAGUGAUGAAGCAGGAGGGAAGAGACAACAUCCCACACCCCGCUCGGUGCUCCCUGCUUCCAGGCAGCUGAGGAAGCACAGUGCUGUCAGAGGUGCCUGGCAGGAGCCCAGCACAGGUGGCUGUGGUUCUGCUCCCAGCUGACAGCUGCCCACGUGUCCACACCAACACAGCCUGCUCCUCUUGUGCUGCAGGAUGCUGAAUUACCCCCACACACGUCAGCAGGCUGUUGGGGUUGGUGGUGGAUGUGCUCUUGCCCUGCAGGAAGGCGUGCUGAGGAAACGAAGCCCUGCUUGGAGGCGGCGCUGCUCUGGCUGGUGGUGAGAAGGGUUGGGCUGUGGGGCUGGGGGCUGCAGGUGCGGCCCGGCGUGAGCUCCGCAGUGUCACCCGGUGCUGGGCUGGGCCCCGCCGCACCCUUUGGGCUUUAUUUUUAGCACGGCCCGGCCGGUUCUACCUGCAUGAGCUGCUGGCAGCUCUGCUGCUGUGGGAUUCCGGGGGGCUGAGCACAGCCCUG